AAGUCGUAACAAGGUAACCGUAGGUGAACCUGCGGUUGGAUCAUUACUGAAUUUUAUUGAGAUUGAUUCCGAAAGGUUUCCUUCUCAAUUUAAAGAGGAAGUCUGCUUGUUCCUUAACAGGUCAAGCAUUCCGACUCAACACCCAAACCCUUGUGAAUUAAAAACGUAAAUGUAAUUUCCCUUGAGAAGGGUAUUGUGCUGGUGGUUUCGAUUGCCAGUCACAAUCUCUACCCAAGGGAGUUGCUGUUGAAAAACAUUAUUAUUUUAAACAUUUUUACUUUUACUUUUUGUAUUGCUUUUGCUUCGGCACUAGUCUUUAUGAAAAUAUUAAAUUGAAAACAACUUUUGACAACGGAUCUCUUGGUUCUC
rnacentral:misc_RNA from 1 species